rnacentral:rRNA from 1 species
AUUGAACGCUGGCGGCAGGCCUAACACAUGCAAGUCGAACGGUAACAGGAAACAGCUUGCUGUUUCGCUGACGAGUGGCGGACGGGUGAGUAAUGUCUGGGAAACUGCCUGAUGGAGGGGGAUAACUACUGGAAACGGUAGCUAAUACCGCAUAACGCCGCAAGACCAAAGAGGGGGACCUUCGGGCCUCUUGCCAUCGGAUGUGCCGAGAUGGGAUUAGCUAGUAGGUGGGGUAACGGCUCACCUAGGCGACGAUCCCUAGCUGGUCUGAGAGGAUGACCAGCCACACUGGAACUGAGACACGGUCCAGACUCCUACGGGAGGCAGCAGUGGGGAAUAUUGCACAAUGGGCGCAAGCCUGAUGCAGCCAUGCCGCGUGUAUGAAGAAGGCCUUCGGGUUGUUAAGUACUUUCAGCGGGGAGGAAGGGAGUAAAGUCAAUACCUUUGCUCAUUGACGUUACCCGCAGAAGAAGCACCGGCUAACUCCGUGCCAGCAGCCGCAGUAA